AUCCUUUGAGGAAAGGGCACAUUGUUAAGUUUGUUAAAAGCUAUAAUGGGCAUCUUGAGUCUUUUCCUCAGAGUCUACGUUGUUUGUCUCCAAGUUGAGCUUGAGAAGCUGAACUGUUUUAGAGAUGCCCAGAACCUAGCCUCCACCUCUUCACAACACAGAUCAGAUACCACCUGGAAUCCUGUGGUCAGUUCUGGAUUCCUUUGGAGAACACUUUGGGAGUGGCAAAAGUAAAUUGGACUCCACAGUGGGUAUGAGGAUGGAGAUAAGACCUUGGAUCCAUAUGGCAAAAGAGCCUGGAGAUGUUCAUCCAAAACCAAGCCAAUCAAGAGGGAGUCAUUAUAACCACCUUUAAAUAAAGAACUGUUCUACAUAAUUAAAAAAACAAAAAUAAAAA
ensembl:lncRNA